CGUCCCUUAAAAACCCCCGCGACAGCUCAUCAUCUUCCUCGCGCGCUCUUCCCUCUCGUCGAAGCUCUCUCUCUCUCCCGAAGCUCUCUUCAUCUUCCUCUUCGAAAAUCGCCUGAUCCAAGCCUUUUUUGCCCAAAAAUCUCCUUUUUCUCUCAUUUUCUUCUCCUAAACUCACAAAAACACCUUCUUUUCUCCAAAAAUAACCCAUUUCGAGAUUUUUCAUUUGGGUAAGUUUUCUGUUUUCUCUCUCUUUUUUUAUGGGUUUUCCUUAUUUUUUAAUGUUUUAUCUUGUGUUUAGUUUCUUAUAUUUCUAGGGUUGUGUAUUUGUCGGCAUUGUUGAUAGCUGGGUUAUUUGAUUGAUGAGCUUUUGUUGAUAUGGGCAUAUGUAAAAUCCGCUGAUUUUUUUUUGGCUCUGUUUUUUU
rnacentral:lncRNA from 1 species